rnacentral:rRNA from 1 species
AUUGAACGCUGGCGGAAUGCUUUACACAUGCAAGUCGAACGGCAGCACUGACUUCGGUCUGGUGGCGAGUGGCGAACGGGUGAGUAAUGUAUCGGAACGUGCCCAGUCGUGGGGGAUAACGUAGUGAAAAUUACGCUAAUACCGCAUACGAUCUAUGGAUGAAAGCGGGGGAUCGCAAGACCUCGCGCGAUUGGAGCGGCCGAAAUCAGAUUAGGUAGUAGGUGGGGUAAAGGCCCACCAAGCCAACGAUCUGUAGCUGGUCUGAGAGGACGACCCGCCACACUGGAACUGAGACACGGUCCAGACUCCUAGGGUGUGCAGCAGUGGGGAACUUUGGGCGAUGGGCGAAAGCCUGAUCCAGCCAUUCCGCGUGCAGGAUGGAGGCCCUCGGGGUGUAAGCUGCUUUUGUACAGAACGAAAAGGUUUCUACUAAUACUAGGAGCUCAUGACGGUACUGUAAGAAUAAGCACCGGCUAACUACGUGCCAGCCGCCGCGGUAA